rnacentral:lncRNA from 1 species
UUAAUUGCAUGUUCUUGUCGUUAUUAAAUUUUAAAACUAAUUUCUAAACCGCUAUUUUUAAUUCAAUUACCUUUCCGAAAUGUUUAAUUCUAAGUUUCAAAUCUAUGUUUUUGUGUUUGUCAUAAACAUGUCCAGCUAAUUUAUUGAUGCUGGGAUGUGAGGACCGUCAUUUGGUGGUACUCUAACUAUUGUUUCUUUAGGAUUACAAUUGUGGGUUGUUUUGGUUUUAAUAUAAUUUUUCUGAAUUCAAUUUAAUCGGUUACUAUGAAAGUAGAGCUGUGAAAAU